AUGGCGUUCUUUGGCUACGACCCGUACGACUACGGCUAUGGCUACCCCGCCGCCGCCGAUGCCUUCUUCCACGACGCCGAGCAGCUGAUGACGGAGUGCUUGCGCCCCGCCCGCCGCAGGGCCCCGGCGCGGCACGACGACGCCUUCUUCCCUGGCUUCGGCGCCGCCGAGCCGGCCGCACGGACCACGGCGCGUCCCAGGCCCAGCAGCGGGUCCCCGAAGAGCUGCCCGGACUACUUCGAGAUUGAGGUCACGGGCGACUCCAACUCUCCGCCAGCUGUGCCGAGGAAGCCGGCGCCUUCAGCGGACGAAGCCGCGGUGAGGGUGCAGGCGGCGGUGCGCGGGCUGCUCGCUCGUCGCAUGGUGCGGGAGGUGCGCAUGGUGGAGCGGCUGGCGGAGGCCGUGGCCGCGAGGGUGGCCUCCGAGGCGGAGGCGCUCCGCGCGGACGCCCUUGCACGGAUCGGCCUCGGGGAGGAGCUCAUGCGGCUGCUGCUGCGCCUCGACGGCGUGCGCGGCGCCCGGGAGUACCGGAGGCGGGUCACCAGGCGCGUGCUCGCGCUCCAGGACGCUGUUGACGCGCUCGAGGCCGCGCCUGCGGUGGUGACCGCCGAUGCGCCGAAAGUUCAGGAUGCAGAGGAAGAAGCAGAGAGCGGGAUGGAGCCGGAGCUGCCGGUUGAGGACAAUACUGCGUCGGAUUUUCUGGCUGCCGAGACAACCGACAUGGCAGCGAUGGAGGUUGAUGCAGCGAGUCCCGUCGUCGUCGACGAGGCCGGGCAGACCGAGACCGAACUGGUGGCGGAAGGCGAGAAGGCCUCGGAGGCGGAGGGUGAGUGGGAGAUGGUGCUGACGGGGGACGGCGACGUCUUCACCGGCGAGGAGGACCAUGCACCACCCAAAGCGCAGCAGCAACAGCAAGAACAGGCACAGGAGGAGAAGAAGACGGUGACCACCGACGGGCUGGACGCGAAGAAACUGAUGGAGAUGGUGGCGGCGCUGUGCGAACGGAGCGCACAGCAGUGCGAGCUCAUCGGGGCCCUGGCUGAGCGGGUGGACACACUGGAGCGCGCCUUCCGGCGGGUUGAGGAGGCCGACCGGCGCAGGCGGAGGAACAAGAAAACCAACAAGGACGGCAAGAAGAACACAAGUAGCUUCUACAGCGACUAG
rnacentral:rRNA from 1 species